rnacentral:RNase_P_RNA from 2 species
GCGGCAGGCCGCCUUAUCGCUGUCCGUUUUAGGCGGAGAGAGGAAAGUCCGGACACCGUAGGAUACCAUAGCGGCUAGCGGCCGUCGUUUUGUUUUUAAGGAAGCUGGAAAUUAUUCCGCUUUCGCGAAAGCGAGAUAGGACAAGUGCAACAGAAAGCAAGUACAGGUUAUGCUGUAGUGAAACCAGGUAAACUCUAUGGGGUGAAACGCCGCGUAAAUCAGAGCUCGAUCGCGAUCCGUGCGAUCUGAAGGGUAGGCGGUUUGAGGUCGUGAGUAAUUGCGAUCCUAGAUAAAUGAUAAGGAAUCCGUUGUAGGGUUACAGAAUCCGGCUUACAGGUCUGCCAUUUUU